GGGGCUAUAGCUCAGCUGGGAGCGCCUGCCUUGCACGCAGGGGUCAGCGGUUCGAUCCCGCUUAGCUCCACCA
rnacentral:tRNA from 1 species